AACAGGCCAGUGACACAAUAAACACCCCCUUGCCCCCUUUCCUCCCCCCAGUUCAUAGUCACAGUGCUGCUACCCCACACCCAGGGCACACCCACAUAGCAAUCAAAGGAAGGGAAGAAAAUGAACUUUGAACUGGAAGGACUAGCUUGUGCCACUGCCUAGGAGCAUGGAUUUAGAGCUGAAAAGGAACAAAGGACCUCAGAAGCUUGGAGCCCAACCUUCUUAUUGUACAGCUGGGCCACAGCCUCAGACCGCAGGAACUUGAAGACGCCCUCGUGCCGAUUCUCCCACUUCAUGAGGCCCUCGUUGAGUUCUGGGUGGAUGAGGAUGUCGCGUAUGAACUCCCAUAG